ACGGUGGCUAAUACCGCAUAACGUCGCAAGACCAAAGAGGGGGACCUUCGGGCCUCUUGCCAUCAGAUGUGCCCAGAUGGGAUUAGCUUGUUGGUGAGGUAACGGCUCACCAAGGCGACGAUCCCUAGCUGGUCUGAGAGGAUGACCAGCCACACUGGAACUGAGACACGGUCCAGACUCCUACGGGAGGCAGCAGUGGGGAAUAUUGCACAAUGGGCGCAAGCCUGAUGCAGCCAUGCCGCGUGUAUGAAGAAGGCCUUCGGGUUGUAAAGUACUUUCAGCGGGGAGGAAGGUGUUGUGGUUAAUAACCGCAGCAAUUGACGUUACCCGCAGAAGAAGCACCGGCUAACUCCGUGCCAGCAGCCGCGGUAAUACGGAGGGUGCAAGCGUUAAUCGGAAUUACUGGGCGUAAAGCGCACGCAGGCGGUCUGUCAAGUCGGAUGUGAAAUCCCCGGGCUCAACCUGGGAACUGCAUUCGAAACUGGCAGGCUUGAGUCUUGUAGAGGGGGGUAGAAUUCCAGGUGUAGCGGUGAAAUGCGUAGAGAUCUGGAGGAAUACCGGUGGCGAAGGCGGCCCCCUGGACAAAGACUGACGCUCAGGUGCGAAAGCGUGGGGAGCAAACAGGAUUAGAUACCCUGGUAGUCCACGCCGUAAACGAUGUCUACUUGGAGGUUGUGCCCUUGAGGCGUGGCUUCCGGAGCUAACGCGUUAAGUAGACCGCCUGGGGAGUACGGCCGCAAGGUUAAAACUCAAAUGAAUUGACGGGGGCCCGCACAAGCGGUGGAGCAUGUGGUUUAAUUCGAUGCAACGCGAAGAACCUUACCUGGUCUUGACAUCCACAGAACUUUCCAGAGAUGGAUUGGUGCCUUCGGGAACUGUGAGACAGGUGCUGCAUGGCUGUCGUCAGCUCGUGUUGUGAAAUGUUGGGUUAAGUCCCGCAACGAGCGCAAC
rnacentral:rRNA from 1 species